rnacentral:rRNA from 1 species
AUGAAGCAAGACAUUCGCAAGAAAACCACCGUGUCAAACAUAACAGGAUGUUUGCUUUUCUUACAGGUGUUCUAUCUACACAGCAUCGAUCUGGGGGAGAUAAGCAUGGCACAUGAUGUGUUCCCCAGAAUAAAAGUUUUCACAGCAGAUAAAAUUAGAGCCAUGAUUAAUGCCGACAAACCGAUGGAUUCAAUGAGGAACAGAGAUUUCAUUUUUGGCAUUUCAACGCCAACAGAUGCAGCUGGUUCAGCAUAUUCCGGGGCAGAUGACGGCUUUAUCGCACAGCAACAAGGGGAUGCUUGGGCAUGUGCAUCAAAGAUAUGUGAUUCUUUGAGCUUGUCACAUCAGGUUGAUGACAGAUGUUUGGCGCCAUAUAUGACAUUUUGCAUCUCAAGGGGAACAAUGCAAGGAGGCCGCAUCAAUUUUUUGAGUCUGUCGAUGAAUGAAUAA